rnacentral:rRNA from 1 species
AAUGAACGUUGGCGGCGUGGAUUAGGCAUGCAAGUCGCGCGACAAGGAACCUUCGGGUUCUGGAGGAGCGGCAAACGGGGUAGUAAGGCAUCGGAACGUACCCUCUUGUUGGGAAUAGCCGCGGGAAACUGCGAGUAAUGCCCAAUAAUCCCUACGGGGCAAAGGUCCGCCGCAGGAGGAGCGGCCGAUGUGAUACCAGCUGGUUGGUGAGGUAAUGGCUCACCAAGGCUUAGACGUCUAGGGGGUGUGAGAGCAUGGCCCCCACCACUGGGACGUGAGAUACUGCCCACGACACCUACGGGUGGGCUGCAGUCGAGAAUCUUCGGCGAAUAGGGCGGCAAGCCUGACCGAGCAACGCCGCGUGCGGGAGUGAAGGA